rnacentral:lncRNA from 1 species
UUACCAACAUAACAUGAGAAUUAUCACACCAUGACAAAUGAUAAUUCAAGCAAGCGCUGCAAAUAACGUGAAGGCUAAAUUGUGCCUUAAACUGUAUCAUGAUUUCUCCCAAAGGAGCUCUGAAUUGAAGUAAUUAAAUCCAUACAUAACAACGUAUUUGAAAAGAUGUGGACAAACCACUAAUAGCACUGAGCAUCUCACCUUUUGAAGAUGAACGUGGAAAACAAAAUUGCUGAAAACGUGAUUCUUUAUUGAAAUUCCAAAGCCUUAAAAAGC